UGAGAUGCUGGCUAUUUUUGUCCUAUGGAAGUUCCAAAAGGCACAUUAAAAGAAUUCCCAUGAUUGUGUGAAUUCAAUAUUUAGAGCAUGAAUAUAUACACUUAUUGAGAGAGAGACAUUAUAUCAACUCCUAGAGAGAGAAAGCGCGGAAGCCAGAACAAAAAAUAGUAAUGGUGAUUUCGAGGAUUGAAAUGUGCAUAAAACUAUUGAAGCUUGUCAUAGAGUUCGUCGUUGUCUUCAUCGAGGCUGUUGGAACGGUUAUUAGACAAAGCACGAUGGAGUUUCCGACAAAUCCUAGGUACAUAGUACCCGCUCCAUACAUUGGUCUUCUUCCUUAAUUUGUUGUAAUUUGUAUCGGGUGCUUCAUAUUUAUAAGGAAUUCAUUUUGUUCGAUGCAACCAUUUUGACCCCUCGUGUCGAUCCCACGAGUCAAUUUUAUCAUCAUGUCGUAUAAGAAAGCACAUUGUACAGUCUGCCU
rnacentral:lncRNA from 1 species